rnacentral:rRNA from 1 species
GGGGAAUAUUGGACAAUGGGCGCAAGCCUGAUCCAGCCAUGCCGCGUGAGUGAUGAAGGCCUUAGGGUUGUAAAGCUCUUUUGUCCGGGAAGAUAAUGACUGUACCGGAAGAAUAAGCCCCGGCUAACUUCGUGCCAGCAGCCGCGGUAAUACGAAGGGGGCUAGCGUUGCUCGGAAUCACUGGGCGUAAAGGGCGCGUAGGCGGACUCUUAAGUCGGGGGUGAAAGCCCAGGGCUCAACCCUGGAAUUGCCUUCGAUACUGAGAGUCUUGAGUUCGGAAGAGGUUGGUGGAAUUGCGAGUGUAGAGGUGAAAUUCGUAGAUAUUCGCAAGAACACCAGUGGCGAAGGCGGCCAACUGGUCCGAUACUGACGCUGAGGCGCGAAAGCGUGGGGAGCAAAC